UACGUAGGGCGCAAGCGUUGUCCGGAAUUAUUGGGCGUAAAGAGCUCGUAGGCGGUCUGUCGCGUCGGAUGUGAAAGCCCGGGGCUUAACCCCGGGUCUGCAUUCGAUACGGGCAGACUAGAGUGUGGUAGGGGAGAUCGGAAUUCCUGGUGUAGCGGUGAAAUGCGCAGAUAUCAGGAGGAACACCGGUGGCGAAGGCGGAUCUCUGGGCCACUACUGACGCUGAGAAGCGAAAGCAUGGGGAGCGAACAGG
rnacentral:rRNA from 1 species